rnacentral:rRNA from 1 species
GCAGCAGGCGAGAAACCUCCACAAUGCGGGAAACCGUGAUGGGGGGAAUCCGAGUGCCCGUUGGCUAAUGCUGGCGGGCUUUUCUCAAGCGUAAAAGGCUUGAGGAAUAAGGACUGGGUAAGACCGGUGCCAGCCGCCGCGGUAACACCGGCGGUCCAACUGGUGAGUCAGCAUUAUUGGGGUCUAAAGCGUCCGUAGCCGGAUGGUUGGAUUUCGAGUGAAAUUCCCCAGCUUAACUGGGGGGCGUGCUUGAAACACCCGCCAUCUA